GACCAGCUCUCCUGGUUUGCCUGGGACUAAGGUGUUUCCUGAGACUUGGGAUUUUCAGUGUUAAAACCAGGAAAGU
rnacentral:miRNA from 1 species